UACAGCUAUCGGGGUGGGACUAAGACAUGCGAGUCGGGCGUCUCUAGCUAUGUUGAGACGCGGCAGACGGCUCAGUAACACGUGGCUAACCUACCCUCAGGACGAGGAUAAACCCGGGAAACUGGGGCUAAUACUCGAUAGGUGAGGAUGUCUGGAAUGACUUCUCUCCUAAAAGACUUGGAUACAUGCUUCCAAUGUCGCCUGGGGAUGGGGCCGCGUCCGAUCAGGUUGUUGGUGAGGUAAUGGCUCACCAAGCCUAUAACCGGUACGGGCCGUGAGAGCGGUAGCCCGGAGAUGGGUACUGAGACAAGGACCCAGGCCCUACGGGGCGCAGCAGUCGCGAAAACUCCGCAAUGCACGAAAGUGUGACGGGGCUACCCCGAGUGCCACCCGCUGAGGGUGGCUUUUCUUUGGUAUAAUUAGCCAUUGGAAUAAGGAGAGGGCAAGACUGGUGUCAGCCGCCGCGGUAAUACCAGCUCUCCGAGUGGUAGGGAUGAUUAUUGGGCUUAAAGCGUCCGUAGCCGGCUUAGCAAGUUUCCUGUUAAAUUCAGCGACUCAAUCGUUGAAUCGCGGGAAAUACUACUAGGCUAGAGGCGGGAGAGGUCGACGGUACUUCUGGGGUAGGGGUGAAAUCCUAUAACCCCAGGAGGACCACCAGUGGCGAAGGCUGUCGACUAGAACGCGCUCGACGGUGAGGGACGAAAGCUGGGGGAGCGAACCGGAUUAGAUACCCGGGUAGUCCCAGCCGUAAACGAUGCGAGCUAGGUGUUGGGAUGGCUACGUGCCAUUCCAGUGCCGCAGGGAAGCCAUUAAGCUCGCCGCCUGGGGAGUACGGCCGCAAGGCUGAAACUUAAAGGAAUUGGCGGGGGAGCACCACAAGGCGUGAAGCUUGCGGUUCAAUUGGAGUCAACGCCGGGAACCUUACCGGGGGCGACAGCAGAAUGAAGGCCAGAUUGAAGGUCUUGCUAGACAAGCUGAGAGGAGGUGCAUGGCCGUCGCCAGUUCGUGCCGUGAGGUGUCCUGUUAAGUCAGGCAACGAUCGAGACCCACGCCUUUAGUUGCUACUGAGGAAGUUUUCCGAGGGGCACUCUAAAGGGACUGCCGUCGAUAAGACGGAGGAAGGAGUGGGCUACGGCAGGUCAGUAUGCCCCGAAUCCCCCGGGCUACACGCGAGCUGCAAUGGCAGAGACAAUGGGUUCCGACCCUGAAAAGGGAAGGCAAUCUCGAAACUCUGCCUCAGUUUGGAUUGAAGGCUGGAACCCGCCUUCAUGAAAAUGGAAUGCCUAGUAAUCGCGCGUCAUCAACGCGCGGUGAAUACGUCCCCGCUCCUUGCACACACCGCCCGUCGCUCCAUCCGAGUGGGGUUUGGGUGAGGCGUGGUCUUCUUGGCUGCGUCGAAUCUGAGUUCCGCAAGGAGGGAGAAGUCGUAACAAGGUG
rnacentral:rRNA from 1 species